GUGAAUCAUCGAAUUUUUGAACGCAUAUCACACUCCCUGGUAUUCCGGAGAGUAUGCCUGUUUGAGGGUCAGUUAAAUAAAAAUCGGGGUUUUUGCCACCUUUGGUGGUGAUGCAUCGGAAUUGGGUCGUCUUUACCUUUCGGUUUAGUGACUUAAAAUUUUUUAAUGAUAUUUGAACGAAUUUAAUUUUUUUUGGUCCGUCAUGUAAUCUCGAAUGUUUAUUAGAAGUGGUUAUCCUC
rnacentral:misc_RNA from 1 species